ACCUAAACCAAGAAAACAAAGUGAUUAAGUUUCUCCUCAGAACAGCAGGCCCCACAGAAACGAGGAGCGACCGUCCCACUGGGUGCUUGGACCCUCACCCACCACUCGGGAAAACAGCCGAAUUCUUCACACAAACAGGAAGCAGCUGGUCUUCCCUGAACAUGAGGGGAGGGCUGGGGCCUCAGCAUGCGGGCUGCCUAGAAGGUGGCGCUGCAGCCAGGCCCUCGGCUGGGCUGGGCAGUCCCAGCCCUCCAGGAAACGGCCAGGCUGCAACUCCCCCGCCAGGAACCCCUGGGCUUCGCGCUUGACCAGUGGAGCCGUGCAGGUCAGAGGAGGGUGGGCUCCCAGCACACACCCUUCUCUGCCACGGUGGGCUCAGCUGCUCCACCCAGGCUGCCAAGACCCAGCCCAGAGCACACAAACUAGCUGGGCUUCUCAUGGGGUACAAUGGGAGUGGGCAGGAGCUGGCAGCCAUGCUGGGCAGGUCAAGGGCCUUCAAAGGGCUGCCACAGCCCAGCUGGGGCGCUGAGGCCUGCAGAAGCUCACUCUGGUGGCAUUGAGUUGGGGAAGGGGUCUCUGUGAGCCAGGUUCAGAAAGGAAGAUGUGAGGCAAGUUUUAAAGAAAUGUUUUAAAAUAGAAGGGGCUUAAAGCAGAAAAGUUUAGCCUGCCAGAAGUUAGAACAUGUUCUAGAGUAACAAUAAUUAAAACCUCACGGUACUGAUGCAAAGAUGGAGAUAUAGGCUGGGGAGGAGAAGUGGAAGUCUGGAAGUGGAACCAGCAACCUACACAAAGAACAUUAAAACUCCAGAAAAAAAGAACGCUACAAUUUAAAACCACAGCGUAGGAUCUCAGAAGCCCUUCCAGCAGAGGAGCACAGAGGAGCUGCCUCAGGCAUUGUCUUGAGAUAAUGUGUUAGUAAUUUGUAAUAAAAUUCAAUCAAAGAGAACACUUACAUCCACAUAAAAACCUGCUCACAAGUAUUUAUAGCAGUUUUAUUCAUAAUCACCAAAAACUUGGAAGCAACUGAGAUCUUUCAGUGCGUGAGUGGGUAAACACACAGCGGUACCUCUAUGCCGAGGAAUGUUAUUCGGUGCUAAAAAGAAGUUAGCUGUGAGCCGCAAGAAGACAUGGAGGAGCACCAAAUGCAUGAUACUAAGUGAGAGAAGCCACUCUGCAAAGGCUACGCCCGUAGGAUUCCACCUCUAUGACGUCCUCGAAAAGGCAAAGCUAUGGAGACAGUGAAAAGACCGGUGGCUGCCAGCGUUUGCAGGAAGAGAGGGAGGAAGAGGUGCAGAACCAUGACUGUGGGGGCAGUGAAACUACUCUGUCUGAUAGUCUGAUGGUGGAUAUAGGGCAUGAUAACUUGCGUCCAAACUCAUAGAAUGCACAACCCCUAGAGUGAGCCUGGACCUCAGUGUGUGCUGGUGCUGGCUGGUCAAUUCUAAGAGAAGGCCCACAUAUUGCAACAUGUGAAUAACAGGGGAAACUGUGGUGGACGCAUGAGGCAGGAGGUCCAUGGGAACUCACUGUGCUUUCCAUGUGAUUUUUCUGUAGUCCUAACCCAGUUUUACUCUUGUCCAAGGACCGUCUGUCCAUCACUUUUUAAUGCCACUCUCAGCAGCUCCCUUUGUGGAGAACAAACCCGAGCCAGGCUGUUUACACGCGCAUCCGGUGGGAGCCCCGUGCUCAGGUGCUCGCUUUUGCACAGGGGGACACUGAGGAACAGAAAAGCGAGGCAACACUCCAGGAUUUGAAACAGUCAAAACACUUGCCCCUCUGCUAAUUAUAAGCACAGCUACUGGCCCCUAAGCCUGGGCUCUUCGACCUCGGUUCUCAAAUGUUCCGGCCUCAGGGCCUCUUGCAUUCCCCAAAGUUAUGAACAAGUCCUUAAAGAGAGUGGGUUGAUACGGGGUCACCCCUGCUGAUAUUUACUGUCUUAGAAGUUACAACUAAGACAUUGAAAUAUUUCAAUAUUUAAAAUAUUAGAAAUUUUAAAAAUAGGUUAAAUGAAUUAAUUUAAAAGUCACAACAGAGUGCUGGAAUUACAAGGAGGAGUAAUCAAAAAGAAAAUCUACAAGCACAUAAGGCCAUUAAAAUAUCCUUAAUUAAAAAAAAAAGCCAGGUAUAGUGGCACACACCAGCUACUCGGGAGGCUGAGGCAGAAGGAUCACUUGGGCCUGGAAGGUCGAGGCUGCAGUGAGCCUGGAUUGUGCCACUGCACUCCGGCCUGGGCCACAGAGCAAGACCCUGACUCAAAACCAUAUGAAACAAAUGAACACAAAACAGUAAAAUCACAACAGCAAUAAUAAACUCACUACUACACAUUAACAUAAAAUAUUUGUUUACAAAAGACAACUAGGCUUUUCAAAACAAAGCAAGUUCCGUGAGAAGAGUGAGAUGUCUUUGCACUUUGCGAAUCUCUGUGGCUUGCUGGAAGGCAGCGGAUUCCCAUCACGCCUCUGCAGGCUUUGGCCAGCGCAUGGGAAGAAUGUAGAUGAGGACAUCUACGAACAUACGUGGUUGGGAGUGGGGGGUGGGGGGCGCUGGUACUUUAAUGGCCUUAUGCGCUUGUAGAUUUUCUUUUUGCUACUACACCAAAACUUGACAAGUGUCAUUUCUUCAAGCUUAGCUGCAAUGCAGAAUCUGAAACCCAUGACCUUUAGAGACUCCGUGAUGUUACAGUCCCUCAGUUUAGGAAACGACAGAGGCAUCAUAACCAAAUGCACCGGGGCUGGGCGUGGUAGUGCACGCCUGGAAUCCCAGCACUUUGGGAGGCCGAGGCAGGCAGAUCACCUGAGGUCAGGAGUUCGAGACCAGCCUGGCCAACAUAGUGAAACCCUGUCUCUACUAAAAAUAUGAAAAUUAGCUGGACAUGGAGGCAGGCACCUGUAAUCCCAGUUACUAAGGAGGCUGAGGCAGGAGAAUCACUUGAACCUGGGAGGUGGAGGUUGCAGUCAGCCAAGAUUGCACCACUAUACUCCAGCCUGGGCGACAAGAGUGAAACUCCAUCUCAAUGUGGCCAGGCACGGUGGCUCACGCCUGUAAUCUCAGCACUUUG
rnacentral:lncRNA from 1 species